UGUCCAGACUCCUACGGGAGGCAGCAGUGGGGGAUAUUGCACAAUGGGGGGAACCCUGAUGCAGCGACGCCGCGUGGGUGAAGAAGCGCCUCGGCGCGUAAAGCCCUGUCAGCAGGGAAGAAAAUGACGGUACCUGAAGAAGAAGCCCCGGCUAACUACGUGCCAGCAGCCGCGGUAAUACGUAGGGGGCAAGCGUUAUCCGGAUUUACUGGGUGUAAAGGGGGCGCAGACGGCGAUGCAAGCCAGGAGUGAAAGCCCGGGGCCCAACCCCGGGACUGCUCUUGGAACUGCGUGGCUGGAGUGCAGGAGGGGCAGGCGGAAUUCCUGGUGUAGCGGUGAAAUGCAUAGAUAUCACGCAGAACUCCGAUUGCGAAGGCAGCAUACCGGCGCCCAACUGACGCUGAAGCACGAAAGCGUGGGUAUCGAACAGGAUUAGAUACCCGUGUAAAC
rnacentral:rRNA from 1 species